CUGAGACAGACAAUAUUCUGUUACAUUGUAGCAAAAUGGCGACUGUCAUUCACAACCCCCUGAAAGCGCUUGGGGACCAGUUCUACAAGGAAGCCAUUGAGCACUGCCGCAGUUAUAACUCGCGGCUGUGUGCAGAGCGCAGCGUGCGGCUCCCCUUCCUGGACUCACAGACAGGGGUGGCCCAGAACAACUGCUACAUCUGGAUGGAGAAGAGGCACCGAGGCCCAGGCCUCGCCCCGGGCCAGCUGUACACGUAUCCUGCCCGCUGCUGGCGUAAGAAGAGACGAUUGCACCCACCUGAGGAUCCAAAGCUGCGGCUGCUGGAAAUAAAACCCGAAGUGGAGCUGCCCCUGAAGAAGGAUGGGUUCACCUCCGAGAGCACCACAUUGGAAGCCUUGCUCCGCGGUGAGGGGGUCGAGAAGAAGGUGGACGCCAGAGAGGAGGAAAGCAUCCAGGAAAUACAGAGGGUUUUGGAAAAUGAUGAAAAUGUAGAAGAAGGCAAUGAAGAAGAGGAUUUAGAAGAGGAUAUUCCCAAGAGAAAGAACAGGACCAGAGGACGGGCCCGUGGCUCUGCAGGUGGCAGGAGAAGGCACGACCCCGCCUCUCAGGAAGACCACGACAAACCUUACGUCUGUGACAUUUGCGGCAAGCGCUACAAGAACCGGCCAGGACUCAGCUACCACUACGCUCACACUCACCUGGCCAGUGAGGAGGGGGAUGAAGCCCAAGACCAGGAGACCCGGUCCCCACCCAACCACAGAAACGAAAAUCACAGACCCCAGAAAGGACCGGAUGGGACAGUCAUUCCCAAUAACUACUGCGACUUCUGCUUGGGGGGCUCUAACAUGAAUAAGAAGAGUGGGCGGCCUGAAGAGCUCGUGUCCUGUGCAGACUGUGGACGCUCUGCUCAUUUGGGAGGAGAAGGCAGGAAGGAGAAGGAGGCAGCGGCCGCAGCACGCACCACGGAGGACUUAUUCGGUUCCACGUCAGAAAGUGACACCUCAACUUUCCACGGCUUUGACGAGGACGAUUUGGAAGAGCCUCGCUCCUGCCGAGGACGCCGCAGUGGCCGGGGUUCGCCCACAGCAGAUAAAAAGGGCAGUUGCUAAACACACGAACAGACUCUCUGGGCAAUUAGCCAUCACCCUCUGACUUUGGUCAUUGUUCUGGUUCUGAUAUAUUUUUUUUUAAUGAAAGACAACUUUAGGUGUUCCCUUCAUCCUUGCUUUUUCCUCUUACCUUCCACGCGUCCCUUCCCCCUUUCCCUCUAUUUUGCAUAUGUACAGCAGAAGCACAAACUACUGAAACAAAACAGAACAAAAGAGCAGAAUAACAGUCCUUCAGAGAGAUGGCAUCAUGAUGUACUAUUUAUUUUCCAUAGAAGUGGGAAGUUAGGUGAAUUAUCUCUUUUUGGGGGGCUUGGGAUCUUUUUGACAUGAGUAGAAUUGAUUUCCUCAGUUUUCCUAUUUAUUGGCAAAAUGAAGAGAGGAGGAAUAUUGGGUUUGGAAACAGAACCAAUAACAUUAAAUAAAUUAUUAUUUAUAUAUUCUAACUAUUAUUAGAAACUUUUUUUUUUUUUUGAGAGAGAGAGAGAGAGAGAGAGAGAGAGAGAUUGAGAGAGAGAGAGGAGAGUGAAAGGAAAUCAAAGAAACUGAAGUAAUAUCCUGUUUAGAAGAAAGCCACUGGGGGAGAAUUGAUUCGAGGAGACCUAGUCAGGAGGAUUUCCUCGAUGGGCGAUGAUUGCACUGUCUGUACUCCACUGAGUUUGGGGCUCCCCAUGGCAGACCCCUUCCCCAGUUCUCCUCCCUGACCUUUCCAUCCUCCUCCCUGCUUGCGUGAACAUGUCAGCAGUUCCUCACAAGCCUGGGGCUGCUGUGGCCUCCCUCCAGGACCUGGGCCCUGAGCAGCACCACUUCCCGAGCUCCUCCUCUCCGUCAGCAUAGCUGCUGUUUUUGUGGUUUUUGGUGUUUUCCUCACUUUCCUCCUGGUGAAGAACAAUUCCAAACGCAGGAAUGGAAUAUAAGCAGAAAAGUCAUGGACUCAGCAGUGACAGAACCACCUGAGGCUGCACUCAUGGAAGAAAGAAGGAUACCUCACAGUAUAUUUCCCUCCCCCCUCGCCCCUGUUUACAAACAUAUAAAUUCCUGUUGGAUGAUCAAGUCUCCUGUAUUUCUUCUUCUAUUUUUUUAUAGUGCCCUCCAGGCACUUUGUUUUAUGUUUCCAAUAGCAUCUCCUGAAAUAAACCAAAGCAACACUUGCUCAAGGCCCCUGGGCGAUGGAGAAGACCGUCCACCUUGUUGGCAGUCCCGAGAACGGACAGCUGUGCAGUCCUAGGGAAAAGUCAACUAUGACCUGGGGACUCCAGCAUCCUUCAAGCAAGCCAUUUCCGAAGAAGGUGACAAGAAGCUGCGAUGAUUUGCACCUCCUCCUCCUCCUUCACCUUCUCCUCUUCCUCUUCCCUUGCCCGGCCCCCUCCUGCGCGUGUGUUUCAGCCAACACAGGAGCCUGGAUUGUGGAAAAGCCUCCAGCGCAACUCAGCUCAGCUCAGAGAAGUCUUGGGAAUGGCCUAAGUUUGUGCAAUAAGAAGAUUUUUUUUUUUAAUUUUUAAAUUCUUCAUUGCAUUUUCUUUAAAUGUCUGUGAGAAAAGUGCCCAGGUCAGACUGGAAUUGCUCUACAAUAGAAAUAACUGAAAACAAACUGACGAAAAAAAAAAGUUAACUGUUUUAUUUAUUUCAAUAUUUAAAAGAAAAAAGUGCUGAUGUGGCACAGUAUUUUUGUUUAAAGUACCUUCUACUUCAAAAGUUAAAAGCAAUUUUGUGAAGACACGAAGUCAAAAGAGUACUUAAUGUAAAAUAAAGACUGCAUAUUAACUAAGGAAAAAUACCCCACCUUUUUAAUAAGAAAAUAAAGAUCAACUCUGCUCUCUCAAAGGCUUUUUAAAAAGCCAUUCAUGUAUGUGCUUUAGGUAUUUUUAUUUCUGCGAGUUGGAUGUGGUAAGUGAGGAGUGAUCAGUUUUGUUUUUCCUUCUUCAAAAGUCUAUUGAAAGUGUUGGGAUGUUCCAGGAUUGUGUUAAGACUUGACUGAAAUAAAUUAGCCACAAAGGCUAUCGGCAGUCUCUCUAAGCCCCCCACCC